AUGGCGCAACAGAAUGCGGACAAAAUAUUGGAGAACAGUACCGCGUUAUCCAAUGGUAAAGGAAGUAAUGCAGAUAAGGUUCAAGAUAGUGAGACAUCCCUGUUGGUCUCCAAGAAAGCUGAUAAAAACUAUCUUGACGAUAGUGAGAGAACCCAAAAGUCUUGUCUUGAUGUAGUGUUCGAGUUACUGGCCACUACUGCUAGCACAAGCUCUUCGAAUCGCUGCCUAAAUCAGUUCGUCUUCUUGAGUCUCAACUUCAAGUUGAAAGACAUCGAUCAGAUGUGCUGUGACAAGAAGCUGAAGGACUGA
rnacentral:rRNA from 1 species